rnacentral:rRNA from 1 species
UUAAGUGAAUAAGGGCGCACGGUGGAUGCCUUGGCACUAGGAGCCGAUGAAGGACGGGACUAACACCGAUAUGCUUUGGGGAGCUGUAAGUAAGCUAUGAUCCAGAGAUUUCCGAAUGGGGGAACCCAAUAUCUUUUAUAGGAUAUUACUUUUCAGUGAAUACAUAGCUGAUUAGAGGUAGACGCAGAGAACUGAAACAUCUUAGUACCUGCAGGAAGAGAAAGAAAAUUCGAUUCCCUGAGUAGCGGCGAGCGAAACGGGAAGAGCCCAAACCAACAAGCUUGCUUGUUGGGGUUGUAGGACUCCAAUAUGGUAGUCUGUUAGUAUAGUUGAAGGAUUUGGAAAAUUCCGCUAAAGAGGGUGAAAGCCCCGUAGACGAAAUGCUGACAACACCUAGGAGGAUCCUGAGUACGGCGGAACACGAGAAAUUCCGUCGGAAUCCGCGGGGACCAUCCCGCAAGGCUAAAUACUCCCUAGUGACCGAUAGUGAACCAGUACCGUGAGGGAAAGGUGAAAAGCACCCCGGAAGGGGAGUGAAAUAGAUCCUGAAACCGUGUGCCUACAACAAGUCAAAGCUCGUUAAUGAGUGAUGGCGUGCCUUUUGUAGAAUGAACCGGCGAGUUACGAUUGCAUGCGAGGUUAAGUCGAAGAGACGGAGCCGCAGCGAAAGCGAGUCUGAAUAGGGCGAAUGAGUAUGUAGUCGUAGACCCGAAACCAUGUGAUCUACCCAUGUCCAGGUUGAAGGUGCGGUAAAACGCACUGGAGGACCGAACCCACGUACGUUGAAAAGUGCGGGGAUGAGGUGUGGGUAGCGGAGAAAUUCCAAACGAACUUGGAGAUAGCUGGUUCUCUCCGAAAUAGCUUUAGGGCUAGCCUCGGAAUUGAGAAUGAUGGAGGUAGAGCACUGUUUGGACUAGGGGCCCAUCUCGGGUUACCGAAUUCAGAUAAACUCCGAAUGCCAUUCAUUUAUAUCCGGGAGUCAGACUGCGAGUGAUAAGAUCCGUAGUCGAAAGGGAAACAGCCCAGACCACCAGCUAAGGUCCCAAAAUAUAUGUUAAGUGGAAAAGGAUGUGGGGUUGCACAGACAACUAGGAUGUUGGCUUAGAAGCAGCCACCAUUUAAAGAGUGCGUAAUAGCUCACUAGUCGAGUGACCCUGCGCCGAAAAUGUACCGGGGCUAAACAUAUUACCGAAGCUGUGGACUACACCAUUAGGUGUAGUGGUAGGAGAGCGUUCUAAGGGCGUUGAAGGUCGAUCGUGAGGACGGCUGGAGCGCUUAGAAGUGAGAAUGCCGGUAUGAGUAGCGAAAGACAGGUGAGAAUCCUGUCCACCGUAUGACUAAGGUUUCCUGGGGAAGGCUCGUCCGCCCAGGGUUAGUCGGGACCUAAGCCGAGGCCGAUAGGCGUAGGCGAUGGACAACAGGUUGAUAUUCCUGUACCAGUUGUUUUUGUUUGAGCAAUGGAGGGACGCAGUAGGCUAAGGAAUGCAUGCGAUUGGAAGUGCAUGUCCAAGCAAUGAGUCUUGAGUAGAGUUAAAUGCUUUACUCUCUAAGGACAAGUUGUGACGGGGAGCGAAAUAAUAGUAGCGAAGUUCCUGAUGUCACACUGCCAAGAAAAGCUUCUAGUGAGAAAACAACUGCCCGUACCGUAAACCGACACAGGUAGUCGAGGAGAGUAUCCUAAGGUGAGCGAGCGAACUCUCGUUAAGGAACUCGGCAAAAUGACCCCGUAACUUCGGGAGAAGGGGUGCUGACUUCGGUCAGCCGCAGUGAAUAGGCCCAAGCGACUGUUUAUCAAAAACACAGGUCUCUGCAAAAUCGUAAGAUGAAGUAUAGGGGCUGACGCCUGCCCGGUGCUGGAAGGUUAAGAGGAUGGGUUAGCUUCGGCGAAGCUCAGAAUUGAAGCCCCAGUAAACGGCGGCCGUAACUAUAACGGUCCUAAGGUAGCGAAAUUCCUUGUCGGGUAAGUUCCGACCCGCACGAAAGGCGUAACGAUUUGGGCACUGUCUCAACGAGAGACUCGGUGAAAUUUUAGUACCUGUGAAGAUGCAGGUUACCCGCGACAGGACGGAAAGACCCCAUGGAGCUUUACUGUAGUUUGAUAUUGAGUGUUUGUACCACAUGUACAGGAUAGGUAGGAGCCGAUGAGACCGGAACGCUAGUUUCGGAGGAGGCGCUGGUGGGAUACUACCCUUGUGUUAUGAACCCUCUAACCCGCACCACUAAUCGUGGUGGGAGACAGUGUCAGAUGGGCAGUUUGACUGGGGCGGUCGCCUCCUAAAAGGUAACGGAGGCGCCCAAAGGUUCCCUCAGAAUGGUUGGAAAUCAUUCGAAGAGUGUAAAGGCAGAAGGGAGCUUGACUGCGAGACCUACAAGUCGAGCAGGGACGAAAGUCGGGCUUAGUGAUCCGGUGGUUCCGCAUGGAAGGGCCAUCGCUCAACGGAUAAAAGCUACCCUGGGGAUAACAGGCUUAUCUCCCCCAAGAGUCCACAUCGACGGGGAGGUUUGGCAC